GCAGAAGAAAACAACACUGGGCCUACGCCAUCACGUAACUUAACUAGUACGGGUACUUCAUAUUAUUUUGAAAUUGGCUUUUCACUCGGUGGUGGUGUUAUAAUAACAAGCAUGAUAAUUAUAAUAGCAUUCACAAGGCUGAAAGGCAGACAAAGUGACAACAUAUACAUCGAGCCAACAAACAGCGACAAGUCCACAUCAGCAACACAAGAAGGUGACACGCACUCCUACAUCGACGUCGUGGACAACAGUGACCCCGACGAAAACCCCUACGACGAGAUUACGACUAGCUCAAGUGAAACUGUUACUGCUACUGCUACUGAACGUGGUAGUCCCUCGAACAGCAAUCAAUACGAAACAAAUUACACCGCGUAUAUUGAGUGUGCGGGGGAGUCUACAGAAAAAAGUAUUAAUGAAGA